rnacentral:lncRNA from 1 species
CCUGGUUCAUCUGCUGAUACUGCUGGAGCUCAGGAACAUGAUGAUGAUGAUGUACCCGAACUUGUUGCUGGCGAGACCUUUGAGGCUGCUGCAGAGGAGGGUCACGGUCACAGUCACGAUGAUCACGAUCACAGUCACGAUCACGAUCACGAUCACGAUCACGAUCACGAUCACGAUCACGAUCACGAUCACGGUCAUGAUCAUGGUCAUGCUUCUUAAGUGCUCAAUAUCGAUCUUGCGUGCAAUUCCUUGUAUUUUUCUUGAUGUUUUUGAGAUGUUUAUUAUGAAAAUACUCAAAAGUUCCGUUACAUCUACAUUUUAAG